rnacentral:rRNA from 1 species
CCUACGGGAGGCAGCAGUGAGGAAUAUUGGUCAAUGGGCGCGAGCCUGAACCAGCCAAGUAGCGUGAAGGAUGACUGCCCUACGGGUUGUAAACCUCUUUUAUAAGGGAAUAAAUUGAGCCACGUGUGCCGUUUUGUAUGUUCUUUAUGAAUAAGGAUUGGCUAACUUCGUUACAGCAGCCGCCGUAAUACGGAGGAUUGGAGUGUUUUCCGGAUUUAUUGGGUUUAAAGGGAGGGUAGAGGGGUUGGUAAGUCAGUUGUGAAAGUUUGCGGCUCAACCGUAAAAUUGCAAUUGAUACUGGCAGUCUUGAGUACAGGUGAGGUAGGCAGAAUUCGUGGUGUAGCGGUGAAAUGCUUAGAUAUCACGAAGAACUCCGAUUGCGAAGGCAGCUUACUAAACUGCAACUGACAUUGAUGCUCGAAAGUGUGGGUAUCAAACAGGAUUAGAUACCCCGGUAGUC